UACGGGGGGAGCAAGCGUUGUUCGGAUUUACUGGGCGUAAAGAGCGUGUAGGCGGCCCGAUAAGUCCGCUGUGAAAGUCCAGGGCUCAACCCUGGAAUGCCGGUGGAUACUGUCGGGCUCGAAUCCGGAAGAGGUGAGUGGAAUUCCUGGUGUAGCGGUGAAAUGCGUAGAUAUCGGGAGGAACACCAGUGGCGAAGGCGACUACCUGGCCUGUUCUUGACGCUGAGGCGCGAAAGCUAGGGGAGCAAACGGG
rnacentral:rRNA from 1 species